GAGAGCACAAUACAAUGAAAGUUGUGAGUUGUGUUCGGGGGGGAGUUAUUGUCUAUCAUUGGCCUCUAUGGUAGAAUCAGUCAGGGAGGCCUGAGAGACGGUGGUUUACCCUGU
rfam:Picea glauca, whole genome shotgun sequence.